AACGAACGCUGGCGGCAUGCCUAACACAUGCAAGUCGAACGAGACCUUCGGGUCUAGUGGCGCACGGGUGCGUAACGCGUGGGAACCUGCCCUUAGGUUCGGAAUAACUCCCCGAAAGGGGUGCUAAUACCGGAUAAUGUCUUCGGACCAAAGAUUUAUCGCCUUUGGAUGGGCCCGCGUUGGAUUAGCUAGUUGGUAGGGUAAAAGCCUACCAAGGCGGCGAUCCAUAGCUGGUCUGAGAGGAUGAUCAGCCACACUGGGACUGAGACACGGCCCAGACUCGUACGGGAGGCAGCAGUGGGGAAUAUUGGACAAUGGGCGAAGGCCUGAUCCAGCAAUGCCGCGUGAGUGAUGAAGGCCUUAGGGUUGUAAAGCUCUUUUACCCGGGAUGAUAAUGACAGUACCGGGAGAAUAAGCUCCGGCUAACUCCGUG
rnacentral:rRNA from 1 species